GGAUUAGAUACCCUGGUAGUCCACGCCGUAAACGAUGGAUGCUAGGUGUCGGAGGAUUCACCCCUUCGGUGCCGAAGUUAACGCAUUAAGCAUCCCGCCUGGGGAGUACGGUCGCAAGAUUAAAACUCAAAGGAAUUGACGGGGGCCCGCACAAGCGGUGGAGUAUGUGGUUUAAUUCGACGCAACGCGCAGAACCUUACCCAGGCUUGACAUCCUCGGAACCUGAUGGAAACAUCGGGGUGUCCCCUCACGGGGAAGCCGAGUGACAGGUGCUGCAUGGCUGUCGUCAGCUCGUGCCG
rnacentral:rRNA from 1 species